UACACUCCUGCGGGAGGCAGCAGUGGGGAAUAUUGGACAAUGGGCGCAAGCCUGAUCCAGCCAUGCCGCGUGAGUGAUGAAGGCCCUAGGGUUGUAAAGCUCUUUCACCGGUGAAGAUAAUGACGGUAACCGGAGAAGAAGCCCCGGCUAACUUCGUGCCAGCAGCCGCGGUAAUACGAAGGGGGCUAGCGUUGUUCGGAUUUACUGGGCGUAAAGCGCACGUAGGCGGACUAUCAAGUCAGGGGUGAAAUCCCGGGGCUCAACCCCGGAACUGCCUUUGAUACUGGUAGUCUUGAGUUCGAGAGAGGUGAGUGGAAUUCCGAGUGUAGAGGUGAAAUUCGUAGAUAUUCGGAGGAACACCAGUGGCGAAGGCGGCUCACUGGCUCGAUACUGACGCUGAGGUGCGAAAGCGUGGGGAGCAAACAGGAUUAGAAACCCUAGUAGUCCCAUG
rnacentral:rRNA from 1 species